GUAAGAGAAGCUUCUUCCUCUUUGGGGCAGCAUCUUAAGGAUGUGAGCUCAGUGAGGGUGGCAGUCAUGCUUCCCACACAUGGGGAGAAAGCCUGCCGAGAAUGGAACCGCAUGCUGAGAGAUGAGAGAAGGCACCAGCCUAUCUGCAGUGGGGUAGAACACCAAGCAGGCCCUUGGCGUCCUCGAUUCCAGACCUUAGCUCUUGGAUGGCAUUUCUGGGCCUGCUCUGGGCCAGAGGGGAGCCUGCUGCCCUGGGAGGAGAGACCUGGGCCGGACAGCAUCCACCACGAGCUGACUGAAGAGCUCUUGGGCCUUAACCCUUUUCUCGUUUAGGAAAAAAAAAAAAAGUGCAGCUCACUGCCAGCACUCAUUUAAUUUUACAUAAACACGCUCUUUGAGGCUGAAGCAAAUCUGACUGAUUUUCAACGUGAAAAUAAAAUAUAAAAACUGUUCUUGGAGUUAUUUCUAAACAGAACUAAUAUCAUCAGAAUCAUCUGAAUCAUUAGAAUCAUCUAUUUCAGGAAAAUCGGAUUCAUUAAAUGAAUCUUUGGCCAAAAACUGUUCGAGAAUGAUGUUAACAUCAAGCGUAGGAAUGCUAUGUUUUCUAGGAUUUGACAUUUUCAGCAAUCAAGAAUUACUAUAUUUUGUAAAUGGAAAUAUCACUACUAAAACCAGAAUGCUCUAAAUAGAAUAAUGUCUUUUGUUUUCAAAGUCAAUAUACUAGGACAAUGUGAAAAUAAUAAUAAAAAG
rnacentral:lncRNA from 10 species